AUGGGGGAGCAAAAACUAGUUGCAGUAGGGGGAUCAGCCCAGCCCUGGGUAGAAGGUGAAGCCCCCGCCCAGUCCCCACUCCUAUCAACAGCCAGCAAACUGUCCAUCCAUCUGAAGGCGGGAACAGAUGGCAGGCGGUCCCGGCUUCUGUGGGGCGCUGCCCGGUGGCUCUGGUCCCGCGGGGCCAUUGGCCCAGCCCGCCGGCCCCUGAGCUCCAGUAGCCCGCCGUUGCAGGAGCUGUUCGCCCAGGGCGGGCCCUUGCGGACCUUCCUCCAGCGCCAGGCGGGGUCUGAAGCCCAUUUGAAGGUCAGGAGGCCGGAGUUGGCGGCAGUGAUCAAACUGCUGAACGAGAAGGAGCAGGAGCUGCGGGAGACCGAGCCCUUGCUGCACGAUGAGAAUGAAGAUUUAAGGAAACUUGCAGAGAAUGAAAUAACUCUGUGUCAAAAAGAAAUAACUCAGUUGAAGCAUCAGAUUAUCUUACUUUUGGUUCCCUCAGAAGAAACAGAUGAAAAUGAACUGCAGGAGUUGGAGGUCAGGAGGCAAUGUUGUUUACUUCAGAGAUAUUUGAUAUGUAUCAACAAUAUGCUGCAUUUAAAAGACGGCAUUUCGAAACCCUGGAGUAUUUUCCAAGUGAAAUAGGUGGCCUUAGACAUGCAUCUGCCAGUAUUGGGGGUUCAGAAGCCUAUAGGCACAUGAAAUUUGAAGGAGGUGUGCACAGAGUACAACGAGUGCCAAAGACACAAAAGCAAGGCCGCAUCCAUACUAGCACCAUGACUGUAGCGAUAUUACCCCAGCCUACUGAGAUUAAUCUCGUGAUUAAUCCGAAAGAUUUGAGAAUUGACACUAAGCGAGCCAGUGGAGCUGGGGGGCAGCAUGUAAAUACCACAGACAGUGCUGUCCGGAUAGUUCAUCUUCCAACAAGUGUUGUUUCUAAAUGUCAACAAGAGAGAUCUCAACUGAAAAAUAGAGAGCUGGCUAUGACAAAGUUACGUGCCAAACUGUACAGCAUGCAUCUAGAAAAAGAAACAAAUAAAAGACAGAAUGCUAGAAAAAUUCAGAUUGGAAGUAAAGGAAGAUCAGAGAAAAUAAGAACAUAUAAUUUUCCACAGAACCGGGUCACAGAUCACAGAAUAAGCAAGACACUGCAUGAUCUUGAAACUUUUAUGCAAGGAGAUUAUCCACUGGAUGAACUUGUACAGUCAUUGAAGGAAUACGCCGAUUAUGAAUCUUUAGUAGAAAUUAUUUCCCAAAAAGUUUAAGUUGAUUUGUUAUUUAUAGACUUUUGUAGCUUAGAAAAAUUCUACAGCAUAUCCACAUAGGGUGAAAAUACCCUUAUUCUCUUAAAAAACAUGAGUUAACACAGUUGGAGGUAAUAUGCAUAUUUUGAAGUCAUAGAUAAUUUACACAGAUCUCUCUCAAUGCAUUAGCAAAAAUCAUACAAUAUACAGAUGGUCCUCGAUUUACAUUGUGGUUAAUUCCCAGUAAACCCAUCAUAAGUUAAAAAUGCAUAUAACGUUAGCAACACAGCAGCCUCCUACUUAAUGACAGCCUGAUGUAACAAUUUUCCAAUUUUACCGUGGUAUGAAAGAGGCAUAAUUUGUAAGUCCUGAGGAGCUCCUCAGCUUGAAAUGGGGCUGCAUCCCUGUAAACCCAUCAUAAAGUCAAAAAAUCCUAAAACCAUCAUAAGUUGGUGGCCACCAGUAAUCACGAUGUAGUGAUAAAUCUUGGACACUUCCUCACAAUAAGUAGACAAAGGAAAAUCAUCCUUUGUCCUGUUCUAUGUAAGUAUUUAAUGAAUGAUCAAAAAUUCAGUUUAAAUAUUAUGAAAAACUUUAAACAUAAAGUAGUAGAAAUAUGACAGUAAAUACUGGAUCCUGAUAUCUAGUCAGGAGACAGAAACCAUACCAUUAACUUGAACAGGGAUAAUUUUAAUAUAAAAAACUGUUAACUGAUAAUGGUAUUAGCUUUUAAGAGGGA